AAAAUUAGGCUUUUUAAUAUAUUAAGCUUAAAUGAAGUACUUAGCAAAGCGUAAAGCGCGAAGGUGUUCAUGGGAAGAUUGCGCCCUGGGGAGCGCCUGGCAGAUCUUGUUCGAUUUCUUGCAAUAAAAGUCGAUUUCUUGCAAAUCAUCUAAAUUCACGUCGUUUCGCAACUUUUUCCGCUUUUAUUCGCUUUUAUUCACAAAAUAAUAUCUCCUUCAUUACAAUAAACAUUCAUUCGCCAUGUGAGAAGUGGUAAAUAUUUUUAUCUGAUGCCCUGAAGCAGCAAUAUGUCAUCAUUUGAAGAGGUCGACAAUGUUUUGGAUAGAUUAAAUCUUCAAGACGAACCAAGAGCUGCUCGUCGAUCAGCACGACGUAUUGCAUGCAAUUUUCAACGACCCUCAUCGCCGGAUGCUUCACAAGGUCAAAGCUUAAAACACGACUUGACGCCAAAGUCGAAAAGUGCGGGCCUGCCAAAAAGUAAACGUACUCACGUUUCAAGUAAACAAACAAGGUGCAACCUCGAGGUUUUUUAUGAUAAAGAGCCAC